UCCCGUAGUUGACGACGUGUGUUCAGUGAAAUCGAGUAGGGCGGGACACGUGAUAUCCUGUCUGAAUAUGGGGGGACCAUCCUCCAAGGCUAAAUACUACUGACUGACCGAUAGUGAACCAGUACCGUGAGGGAAAGGCGAAAAGAACCCCUGUGAGGGGAGUGAAAUAGAACCUGAAACCGUGUACGUACAAGCAGUAGGAGCACCUUCGUGGUGUGACUGCGUACCUUUUGUAUAAUGGGUCAGCGACUUAUAUUCAGUGGCAAGGUUAACCAUCUAGGGGAGCCGUAGGGAAACCGAGUCUUAACUGGGCGUUCAGUCUCUGGAUAUAGACCCGAAAC
rnacentral:rRNA from 1 species